UGUGGUGCAGAGACAGUGGGAUAGAGUUUCAUUCCCCCUGCUGCCCACAUCAUCCCAAGUCCCACCAGGGAUGUGGCCCAGUGGGCAGAACCACCAAAAAUUAGUCAGAAAGCAACCUAAGAGGUCAGCAUGAACUAGCUGUAAAUGACUUCUUCUGGCUGCUACCCAUGGCUUUCUUUAACUGAGAUCUACACCAGCUGCCAAACCCACCUGGCUUUGGGGGGAUAAACAUGCCCACAUUAAGCUCUUAAAUAGCAGCAGAUGGAGAAUGGAGCCGUAAGGUCUGCAGUGUCAAAAGUACAGCUGAGUUAGACUCUCUUUUUUCCCUCCUUUAUAUUUAGGAGAGACGAAUGGGGAUUUUAGGGAAUAAUUCAUCUGAACUACCUUCAGCACAACCUUUAGGAUGAGAAGGCUCUUGCUUCAGUUUAUUAACUGUAUUGAGCAGAGCACCUCUCUGACAACAAUAAAAAGAAUUCAAGCAGAUAAUCAGGAAUCACUGAAAAAAUUAUCAAACCUCUAAAUCAACCUGCAACUACUGGAGCUCAGAGAGGUGGGGGAGAAGCAUGCUUGGAAAGAACAUGGCAAAGGAAGACAGGAAUAUAAACUGGCUUUUCUUCAGACUUUCGUCAGUGUGUGUCCUUCAUGAAAACCAUGAGAUGAAGCCUUUGGAAGACUUCAUGGGUAGAAAGGGACUCAUGGCAUCUGAUUACUGAUCAUGAUCCAGGCAGGCUGGGGACAAGAUGAGCAUCUUGACCUCUUGGAAACAAACCCAGCCAAAAUGGAGCCAACGGUACAAAACUCCAUUUGUGGGACAGCAAAAGUCCUUCCUGGCCUUUUUGGGAAGAUGGCAUUGCUGAACUGAAGAAGAGAAAUUAAUCUCAGAAGACUUGAUGGGAAGCAGAGACCUCUGCAGUCCACUGCCAAGGGGUGGAGUCCACUGCAGUCCACUCCUUCACAUCCCUUUACUCUAAUCCACUUCCCAUGGUGUCUGUGUUGACAUGUGUGUCCCAAUUGGACAACCUGAAAGAAAUUUCCAUGUCUCCAUAGACCAGCACUAUGCAUCCUUCAGUAAGAUAAGGGCAUGCAGGUAUGUUUGCAUACAGGCAUUUUGUUAACCUGGUAAUAUUACUGCCUACACUUCAGAAAUGCCUGGCCAUUCAGAAAUUCACAGGCCACAGGUAGAACACCGUACUAUUUACAUGCUACCAAGGCUACUCAGUUUAUCCCAAGACCCAUUCUUAUGCAGAGCUACAUCACUACUAUAAAAUUUACCUUUAAAGUUGGGGCCGUGCACACAUGCUUCCAAGAUCCAGUCUCCUCCCUGCAGCAAACACCACACCAGCCCCAGCAUAUCAAACAAGCAUGUACUGUCUACAAUGCGAAAAAGUCAGCAGAACAACAUUGGGACCCCCAGAAUUUUUGUUUAUGGGAAUAUGGAAGAUUUUAUGUAUCUGGGACCUUGGAGAGAUUUUAUAAAAAUUUAUUCAAGGUCUGGAUAUGGACAGUGGUUUGCUUUGGAUAGCUCUGCUCUGGAGACAGUAAAUUAGCUGUCCAGACUAAACCUGGAUUUUAGUUUCAAAAUAUCCAGCUUGGAAGUCCUCUUGCUCACUCCAUUUCCACACAUCAUGCUAUAGUGUUGCACAAGUGUGAGUCAGAGCGAACACUGAUCCCAAGCAGCUCAGCAUGAUCAUCCACUGAUCCUCAUUCAGUUCAGCAAAGGAAUGAUGUUGUAGGCAAGGACGAAAGAAACCAAAUUUUAUUUACUUUGGGGGAAAAAGGGGGGAAAAAAGUGGUGAACACAUGCCGUGUUUUCAAGGACCUGUCCUUUCAGAUUGAGGUAAUCAGAAUGAAAACCAUCUGAUCAAAUCUAGAGAAGUCUACAUACCUGUGCUGUAAAUUCCUUGGGGGAAUUUAAGAUCCAAAACUAUUUCUGUGUUUUAAAAAUAUCUGCCUAUGUGUUUCCUGGGGAGAAGACUGUGGACUGACCCUACCACAAUUCAAAUCAGCAAUGACACUUCAGAAUUGGGUACACUGUGAGAAAAAAUAAAUGCCACCGGCAGCACAGAGACAUGAGUCGGACAGAGACAAUUCAAAAGAUAACUUCAUUGUUUUCUGCAAGCCAUGAGCAUUUCCAUUCAAGAAAUGCUUGGUUCUCAAAAACAGGUUUUGCAUGGACUUACUCUGUGGAUGUUAAUUGUUGCCUGAAAAUGGCAUUUUCCAAAUAUCUUUGUUCCCAUUAUUUACCAUCUCUCAGCAUUUACAAAUGUCAGUGGAGAAGAAUUACUCAUGAGUUCAGCACUUUCUGGGGAGUUUUUUUCUUCAGCUGAGUUGACUGGGAUAGAGGUUUUGUUUUAUUUGGCUUUUCUUCUUCCCUAAAAAUUGCCUUUGGUAGGUGAUAUUCUAAAACACAGGCUGUCUGGUAGGAGGAAGUCAUGACUGAGCAUCAUCAGAUAAUGAGCUCCUCAAAAUCAAAACAAUCAGCAGAAGCAUCACUUUUUGUGAAUUUAGUCUGAAUUUGGUGUGACCUCAUGCAGCCAGAAGGUUUGCAUGAAGUGUGAAGGGAGAUGCCACAUAAACAAGAGGUGCCUUCUUGAGCUGCAGCUACCAGAAAAUUUUCAAGUAAUGCCUCAGUUUUUAUAUAGCACUGCAUGAGCGCUGGAAGGGACUGAGUUUCUGCAGAAAGUUGCAUGGAUUUUCUUCCAGCCCAAACUUUCCUGAACAAUUGCAAUACUCUCACUCUGUCCAGCAGGCAUGGUUUAGAGUUUGUGCUGAGUUUCUUCUCUAAUACAAGCUUUACAGAAGCUACUAAAAGUUAACUUAAUUAAGUUAGAUUAAAUAACAUUUAAUUUCUGGAUACCCAGCAAGAAGUUAGAAUGAAAGAGAAAGGUGAUUCUGUGAUCCCCCACCUAUAAGUCUGCCUAAACCAAGUGAAUGUCAGAAGUUUUGAGUAAGUUUGAAGAAAAACAGGGAGUUUGCACUGAAACAGAACUUUGUGUUACAUGAUUAUGGCAUGUUUGAUUUUAUGGUAUGGUUAUGAGAUUCUGGUAUGUUUGAUUUUAUUUUACUUUUUUUUAUCUGGUACUAGGCUCCCAAAAGCCUAGUACCAUCAAACUAGAAACUUCAUUCCAGAAAUGUCAAAUUACAUCUUUAGAUACUUUAAUUCUGUGUUAUCUGGGUGUUUGCAUGCAUGCACCUACGCACCCAUCAAUUCUACCUGGUGGGAGCAGAAGCCCAGCUGCAAAUGUUAGUGCCGUCCCAAAUUAAAUGACACACAGUUGCUUCAAUUCAGCAUAGGUCUACCUACACACAUACGAACUUUUCUUUCUUCAUUUCUCCUGUCUUUUAUCUUUGGCAUGCAUCAUAACUCUCCCAUGGCACUUUUAUUACAGGAAAGUGAAGGAAUUCACAGAACAGCUAGUACAGAAACACAGGCACUUUUGGAUGUAUAAAUGAAAACAUUCAUUUUGCUGUUCUGUUGGGCUUUUGACAUAUUUCAACAACUUUGCAAGAUAAAUGUGAGAAGAAGCCUAGAUGGACACAUAAGAAACUUUAGGGAAUCCAAAGAAUUUUCCAUGUUAAAUGAAACUGGGGAAAAAUAGCUAUGCUAUAUCACAAGGCAUUUGGUGAAUUCAGAGCUCACAUGGUCUACAUUGUGAAGUGUAGUUGCAUCU